rnacentral:rRNA from 1 species
UACGGAGGGGGCUAGCGUUGUUCGGAAUUACUGGGCGUAAAGCGCGCGUAGGCGGCUUUGUAAGUCAGAGGUGAAAUCCCGGGGCUCAACCCCGGAACUGCCUUUGAAACUGCAUCGCUUGAAUCCGGGAGAGGUGAGUGGAAUUCCGAGUGUAGAGGUGAAAUUCGUAGAUAUUCGGAAGAACACCAGUGGCGAAGGCGGCUCACUGGACCGGCAUUGACGCUGAGGUGCGAAAGCGUGGGGAGCAAAC